rnacentral:rRNA from 1 species
AGUCGAGCGAAGCACUUUAUUUGAUUUCCUUCGGGACUGAUUAUUUUGUGACUGAGUGGCGGACGGGUGAGUAACGCGUGGGUAACCUGCCUUGUACAGGGGGAUAACAGUUGGAAACGGCUGCUAAUACCGCAUAAGCGCACGGCAUCGCAUGAUGCAGUGUGAAAAACUCCGGUGGUAUAAGAUGGACCCGCGUUGGAUUAGCUAGUUGGUGAGGUAACGGCCCACCAAGGCGACGAUCCAUAGCCGACCUGAGAGGGUGACCGGCCACAUUGGGACUGAGACACGGCCCAAACUCCUACGGGAGGCAGCAGUGGGGAAUAUUGCACAAUGGGCGAAAGCCUGAUGCAGCGACGCCGCGUGAGCGAAGAAGUAUUUCGGUAUGUAAAGCUCUAUCAGCAGGGAAGAUAAUGACGGUACCUGACUAAGAAGCACCGGCUAAAUACGUGCCAGCAGCCGCGGUAAUACGUAUGGUGCAAGCGUUAUCCGGAUUUACUGGGUGUAAAGGGAGCGCGGGCGGUGCGGCAAGUCUGAUGUGAAAGCCCGGGGCUCAACCCCGGUACUGCAUUGGAAACUGUCGUACUAGAGUGUCGGAGGGGUAAGCGGAAUUCCUAGUGUAGCGGUGAAAUGCGUAGAUA